rnacentral:rRNA from 1 species
CCUAUGGGGGGCAGCAGGCGCGAAAACUUUACCAUGCGGGCAACCGUGAUAAGGAAACCCCGAGUGCCAGCACAGGCUGGCUGUCCAUCAGUGUAAAUAACUGGUGAAGAAAGGGCCGGGCAAGACCGGUGCCAGCCGCCGCGGUAAUACCGGCGGCUCGAGUGGUGGCCGCUAUUACUGGGCUUAAAGGGUCCGUAGCUUGAUAAUUGGGUCCCUUGAGAAAUCCGCCAGCUUAACUGGCGGGCGUUCAGGGGAAACUGGUUUUCUAGGGACCGGGAGAGGUGAGAGGUACUGCCGGGGUAGGAGUGAAAUCCUGUAAUCCCGGUGGGACCACCUAUGGCGAAGGCAUCUCACCAGAACGGGUCCGACAGUGAGGGACGAAAGCUGGGGGAGCAAACCGGAUUAGAUACCCCCGUAGUCC